ACUUAGCAACGAGCUAUACCAAGUUCAAGUCAAUCACAGGGAAGAAUUUUGUCAAUUUCCCAUUGUCACAGUAACAGGAGUGACAUGUUAAUUUUAAAAUCAAACCAGUCACCAAAAAAAAAAAAAAAAAAGUUAAAAACAUUAAAGAGUGAGAUAAUUUUUGUAGAUGAACAGUAAUCAGAGACAGACUCCCAGUGAAACUUUGUCUGUCUGUCUCAUUUGGUCACAGAUGCUCUAAGCUGACUCCAUAGCUGCUCUGCAAUCCACACCAGGGCUCCGUGUUCAGCACCUCAUGGAAAUGGGCAAGUUCCUUGAUUUAAAACUCUGAACCAUAGAUGUUCACAUGCCAAGCCAGCACAACUUUUGACUCCUUACAAAACCACUGACCAUGGUCCACUGAGCCUACGACGGCCCGUGAUGAGAGCUGCUGUGAUGCAGUUUCUAGACACAGCAGAAGGAGAAAAAUAAAAACUGAGUGUACGUUUUCCAGGUGCUUACACAGAACACAGACAGGAAAUCAACAGGGACCUGCGUUUAUCCAGGUCACAUACCCUGGAAGACACACCUCUGAAGGCACCAUUUGAUAAGACCAUUCCACAAAAAACAAAAAACACCAGCCACAAAGACAAAAAUCCCAUUGAGCCAUGCAGUGUUCCUGGUAGCAAGAAAAUGCUGAGACGAACAUCUAUUGCUUCAUCAGCUGUCUGCCAAGAUUUAUCUGCAUGCAUCAGAAAGGUUCAUCUACACCUUACAUGUGAGGAUUCCAGGAGAUGAAAAAGCAUGGAAUGAAUGAAAGGGAGACAUGAACAUUUUGGGUUCUGUGGGAGGACAAAGAAAAUUAAGAUAGAGAGGAAACCAAGAUGGAAACUGAAGAACUAGAAGAAUGAUCUCAGUGACAGGCAGAGUAUUUCAGGCUUCCUGUAAGCAAGGAGAAAGUAGGGAACAAGGAUUAAAAAAUAAAGAUGCAUAAAUAAGAAAAAGAAGGAAAGAAAAUACACAGGAUAUUAAAAUCAGAAAAUUAAAGAAAAAAUACAAGAUUACAUAUAAAAGUAAAGGAAUAAAAUCUACCAGAGCACAGGGAUGCAAGAAUGUAGCAGAAUUAAUUGGAAAAGACUAAUGUCAUGUACAAAAUAUUUCAGUUUACUUAUAAGGAGCAUGAGAGACAGGGGCACAUAAGCUUUUUAUUAUUAGAGGGGAAUAAAAUAACAUAAAUAGGAAUAAAAUAACAUAAAUCCAAGUACAUAACUUACCAUUUUCGAAUGAAAAUUCAUAAAGAAAAGCAAAAUGUUGCUGCAUUCAAGAAAAUUAGCAUUUUAAAUUAAUUUAACCUCAAUACCAAGAUUCAAUAAUCAGCUGAAAUUACCUAUUCCCAGAUGGAACUGCUUUUUGUUGUUUGCCCAAUGGCUUUCAGAAAACUUUGACUUUUCUUAUUAAGUAAUGUUUCUUUCUUAUUUGAUCUUUAAAAAAAGCCUCAGUUAUCAUUACAAACAAAAGGACAUUAGCUGGCAGUAAUAAGGAAGGAUUUUUGUGGAUUACUUACCCUUUAUGCAGGUAAAGGAAGGCUGAGAGCAUUCCUUGCCAAGUCCUCAUCUUACAAAAUGUCAUUUUGUGCAUGAGCAAUCACAAUGAACCCAUAGUAUUUAUCCCAGUACAAAGAUUUGUACAGAGGCAAAAAAAAAAAAAGCUUGCAUAACUCUUUUAAAAUUUCCACUAUAUAAAAAAAGACCCAAAACCCAACCCAGAAAGUUCUACUCUACACAUCAUCUCCAAUAUAGAUUAAUAUUAUUAUUAUUAUUAUACUUGCACUGAUUAGAUUAAAUUGAUUUACUUUUCAAAGUAACUAAAUAUAUAUAUUUAUAGCACUAAAUAGAUAUAACUGCAUAGAUACCUUUCCCAAGUUUCAUACACUUAGGCAUACUUUGCCAAUUAAUUCCAAACUUCAACAGAGCUGUCUGAUGAUUCAGCAUCUACUGUGGAAAGUUACUUUUCAUCAUCCAGAUUCUCAGCUUUGUUCAUAGCCACUCUCUUUGAGAUGACUUUGCCUUGUGCCUGGAAAGUCACCAAGUGAAAGAAAAGAAUAAUCCCUUGAACAAGAUAGAGAAAAAUAGAAAUUCUUUCAUUAUUUUGAUUUUUGAGUGUCAGAUAUUGAAGUGGGCAAAGCUUACAAGUGAUUUCAAAAAUCUAAUUUCCUUAUCUUGAAAGUAUGAGAUCAAGGCAACACAGUAAGAAUUUUUUAACUAAAAUAAAGAUCCAUUUAAGUAUGUGGGGUAGUUAAACACUACACUAGCUAAAUGUUUUUGCCACUCAAAACAGUCAAAAUUAUCAUUACAAUGGUAGAUGAGACAAGGGAAUUCGUGAAAUACUUCUCACCUCCUACAUACAAGUUAAUUGUUUCUGUAUAUU